CAGAGGAGCAGAGCCAGAGGAACAGAACCAGAGGAGCAGACAGGAGCAGCAUGAUGACGACCUCUGUGAAGGUUUUGGCUGUGGUUCUUUUUCUCUACAUAAACUCAGCUGUUGGUCUUCAGUGCUGGUUUUGUGGAGAUGGUUCUUGUUCUUCUCAGACGUCAGUGAAAUGCUCUUCAGGACAGACCCUUUGUGUGUCCAGAUAUUAUCGAGAGUCCGACAACUAUGGGAACUACAGUUAUAACCAGACCUAUAAAGGCUGUGCCUUUAGCUCGGACUGUACAGCUGAAGAAUCUGAGUUUGUUUCAUAUAUUUAUG
ensembl:lncRNA